AACGAACGCUGGCGGCAUGCCUAACACAUGCAAGUCGAACGAGACCUUCGGGUCUAGUGGCGCACGGGUGCGUAGCGUGUGGGAACCUGCCCUUAGGUUCGGAAUAACUCCCCGAAAGGGGUGCUAAUACCGGAUAAUGUCUUCGGACCAAAGAUUUAUCGCCUUUGGAUGGGCCCGCGUUGGAUUAGCUAGUUGGUAGGGUAAAAGCCUACCAAGGCGACGAUCCAUAGCUGGUCUGAGAGGAUGAUCAGCCACACUGGGACUGAGACACGGCCCAGACUCCUACGGGAGGCAGCAGUGGGGAAUAUUGGACAAUGGGCGAAAGCCUGAUCCAGCAAUGCCGCGUGAGUGAUGAAGGCCUUAGGGUUGUAAAGCUCUUUUACCCGGGAUGAUAAUGACAGUACCGGGAGAAUAAGCUCCGGCUAACUCCGUG
rnacentral:rRNA from 1 species